UGGGGGAUAUUGCACAAUGGGCGAAAGCCUGAUGCAGCGACGCCGCGUGGGGGAUGAAGGCUUUCGGGUUGUAAACCUCUUUCGCUAUCGAACAAGGCCCGCUUAGGGUGGGUUGAGGGUAGGUGGAGAAGAAGCGCCGGCUAACUACGUGCCAGCAGCCGCGGUAAUACGUAGGGCGCGAGCGUUGUCCGGAAUUAUUGGGCGUCAAGGGCUUGUAGGCGGCUUGUUGCGCCUGCUGUGAAAACGCGGGGCUUAACUUCGCGCGUGCAGUGGGAACAGGCAGGCUUGAGUGUGGUAGGGGUGACUGGAAUUCCAGGUGUAGCGGUGGAAUGCGCAGAUAUCUGGAGGGACACCGAUGGCGAAGGCAGGUCACUGGGCCAUUACUGACGCUGAGGAGCGAAAGCAUGGGUAGCGAACAGG
rnacentral:rRNA from 1 species